GAAAUGCGAUAAGUAAUGUGAAUUGCAGAAUUCAGUGAAUCAUCGAAUCUUUGAACGCACCUUGCGCUCCUUGGUAUUCCUUGGAGCAUGCCUGUCCGAGCGUCAUUUCAACCAUCAAGCCCCCGGGCUUGUGUUGGGGACCUGCGGCUGCCCGCAGGCCCUGAAAACCAGUGGCGGGCUCGCUGUCACACCGAGCGUAGUAGCAAUCACCUCGCUCAGGGCGUGCUGCGGGUUCCGGCCGUUAAACAGCCUUACAAAACCCAAGGUUGACCUCGGAUCAGGUAGGAAGACCCGCUGAACUUAAGC
rnacentral:misc_RNA from 1 species